rnacentral:misc_RNA from 1 species
ACGAGUUUGACAUGGGUUGUAGCUGGCCUUCCGAGGCAUGUGCACGCCCUGCUCAUCCACUCUACACCUGUGCACUUACUGUGGGUUUCAGGCGCGUCGCGAGUCUCCGUGCUCGAGGCGUUACUGGGCCUACGUUUCACUACAAACCAUUGAAGUAAUAGAAUGUGUAUAGAUGUUUAACGCAUCAUUAAUA